UCAAAUUCUGAUGAUUUUCUA
rnacentral:siRNA from 1 species